rnacentral:tmRNA from 1 species
GGGGAUGAUCGGCCUAGACAAAGGAAAUCUUCCGAAACCGGCCAGACGGAGCUCCGAAAACUCCUUAAACUUUCGGAAAAUUCAACUGCCAAAACAGUUGGGGUAAAGUCGCCAUAUUUGGCCGGCUUUCCCGCUUUCGCUUUCGCUCACGCCUAAGCGAUGUCCGACUUGUUGACUUCCGAUAGGCAAAAUCGGGCAUAAUACUUUCGGAAUAAAAUGAAAACUUGCUCGUCUUUCAUUUGAACCCCGUCUUUGGCGGGGAAGAGCUCGGCGUUUUGAGAUUUUGCUGGCUACCAACGAGAAGCGCUUAAAAAAUUAAAACCAGCUAGGUCUGGUAGAAAAGUUUCGGAUUAUCUUUUGCACGGCGGUUCGAUUCCGCCCAUCUCCAAAA